rnacentral:rRNA from 1 species
CCUACGGGAGGCAGCAGUCGAGAAUCAUUCACAAUGGGGGAAACCCUGAUGGUGCGACGCCGCGUGGGGGAAUGAAGGUCUUCGGAUUGUAAACCCCUGUCAUGUGGGAGCAAAUUAAAAAGAUAGUACCACAAGAGGAAGAGACGGCUAACUCUGUGCCAGCAGCCGCGGUAAUACAGAGGUCUCAAGCGUUGUUCGGAAUCACUGGGCGUAAAGCGUGCGUAGGCUGUUUCGUAAGUCGUGUGUGAAAGGCGCGGGCUCAACCCGCGGACGGCACAUGAUACUGCGAGACUAGAGUAAUGGAGGAAGAACCGGAAUUCUCGGUGUAGCAGGGAAAUGCGGAGAUAUCGAGAGGAACACUCGUGGCGAAGGCGGGUUCCUGGACAUUAACUGACGCUGAGGCACGAAGGCCAGGGGAGCGAAAGGGAUUAGAUACCCUGGUAGUC